CCUUCGAUAGCUCAGCUGGUAGAGCCGAGGGCUGUAGGAGUGUAAUAUAUGUAAUCCUUAGUUCGCUGGUUCAACUCUGGCCCGAAGGA
rnacentral:tRNA from 1 species